rnacentral:rRNA from 1 species
UACAGAGGGGGCAAGCGUUGUUCGGAAUUACUGGGCGUAAAGGGCGCGUAGGCGGCCUUCUAAGUCGAACGUGGAAAUCCCCGGGCUCAACCCGGGAACUGCGUCCGAUACUGGAAGGCUUGAAUCCGGGGAGAGGGAUGUGGAAUUCCAGGUGUAGGCGGUGAAAUGCGUAGAUAUCUGGAAGGAACACCGGUGGCGAAGGCGGGUCGCUG